CAGUAGCCGCGGGAAUACGUAGGUGGCAAGCGUUGUCCGGAAUUGUUGGGCGUAAAGGGCUCGCAGGCGGUUUCUUAAGUCUGAUGUGAAAGCCCCCGACUCAACCGGGGAGGGUCAUUGGAAACUGGGAAACUUGAGUGCAGAAGAGGAGAGUGGAAUUCCACGUGUAGCGGUGAAAUGCGUAGAGAUGUGGAGGAACAUCAGUGGCGAAGGCGACUCUCUGGUCUGUAACUGACGCUGAGGAGCGAAAGCGUGGGGAGCGAACAGGAUUAGAUACCCCUGUAGUCCCUGUCUCUUAUAC
rnacentral:rRNA from 1 species